rnacentral:rRNA from 1 species
GAUGAACGCUGGCGGCGUGCCUAAUACAUGCAAGUCGAGCGAACAGACGAGGAGCUUGCUCCUCUGACGUUAGCGGCGGACGGGUGAGUAACACGUGGAUAACCUACCUAUAAGACUGGGAUAACUUCGGGAAACCGGAGCUAAUACCGGAUAACAUGUUGAACCGCAUGGUUCAACAGUGAAAGACGGUCUUGCUGUCACUUAUAGAUGGAUCCGCGCCGCAUUAGCUAGUUGGUAAGGUAACGGCUUACCAAGGCAACGAUGCGUAGCCGACCUGAGAGGGUGAUCGGCCACACUGGAACUGAGCCACGGUCCAGACGCCUAAGGGAGGCAGCAGUAGGGAAUCGUACGCAGUGGGCGAAAGCCUGACGGAGCAACGCCGCGUGAGUGAAGAAGGUGUUCGGAGCGUAAAACUCGGUUAUUAGGGAAGAACAGAUGUGUAAGUAACUAUGCACGUCUUGACGGUACCUAAUCAGAAAGCAACGGCUAACUACGUG